ACAAUGAUACUUCCGUAACUCGCGGCCCGGCCACAAAGAAGGCGGGGAGGUUAGAGUCCUAUGA
ncrna:unclassified sequences pemK RNA